rnacentral:rRNA from 1 species
UACGGGGGGGGCAAGCGUUGUUCGGAUUUACUGGGCGUAAAGGGCGCGUAGGCGGCCACCGCAAGUCGACUGUGAAAUCUCCGGGCUUAACCCGGAAAGGUCAGCCGAUACUGCGGGGCUAGAGUGCAGAAGGGGCAACUGGAAUUCUCGGUGUAGCGGUGAAAUGCGUAGAUAUCGGGAGGAACACCAGUGGCGAAGGCGGCGAUCUGGGUCGAUACUGACGCUGAGGUGCGAAAGCGUGGGGAGCAAACAGG